CACGAACUGUGCAAACGUUAUUCGGAAUCACUGGGCUUAAAGAGUUCGUAGGCGGCGCGCUAAGUCGGGUGUGAAAGCCCUCGGCUCAACCGAGGAAUUGCGCCCGAUACUGGCGUGCUUGAGUGAGAUAGAGGUGAGCGGAACUGAUGGUGGAGCGGUGAAAUGCGUUGAUAUCAUCAGGAACACCGGUGGCGAAAGCGGCUCACUGGGUCUCAACUGACGCUGAGGAACGAAAGCUAGGGUAG
rnacentral:rRNA from 1 species